rnacentral:ncRNA from 1 species
UGAUAGCGUGGAAGCGGAGGUUGCCGCUUGGGAGUUUGGAAGCAAGCGGGUUAUUUCGUGGAGCGAAUGUCAAUUAAUGAUAACUGGCGACAA